rnacentral:lncRNA from 1 species
UAGUGCAAAUCUUUCACUCACAAAAAAAUCUUAUGCCUUCAAACUUCAAAUCUGUUGAUAUCUUGAAACAGGAGCUUAAUUAUAACUACAAUAAUGGCUGGUUGUAACCAGUUUAUGGCAUUAAUAGCAAGAAAAUUUAUUACUACUGAUUAUUUAAUUUUUAAAAAGAUCAUUCGGAAAACAUCAACAUUUAUGAAUCUUUCCAAAGAUGUAAUAAUCUAUGAAAAUAAAACUCGCUCUUCAAAACUUAUGAGUAUGCUGGGUGUUUUUGGAUUUGGUCAAUGGUGUAUGUCAAUUUAUAUGAGCCAAACAUUACUUUAUCAUAUGCCUGCAUUUUUUAGCUGGAUUCCACCUGAAAAGUAUUAGAAAAAAUUUAGAAGUUAAAGU